AACGAACGCUGGCGGCAGGCUUAACACAUGCAAGUCGAACGCCCCGUCAGGGGAGUGGCAGACGGGUGAGUACCGCGUGGGAACAUACCCCUUUCUACGGAAUAGCUCUGGGAAACUGGAAUUAAUACCGUAUACGCCCUACGGGGGAAAGAUUUAUCGGGGAAGGAUUGGCCCGCGUUGGAUUAGCUAGUUGGUGGGGUAAAGGCCUACCAAGGCGACGAUCCAUAGCUGGUCUGAGAGGAUGAUCAGCCACAUUGGGACUGAGACACGGCCCAAACUCCUACGGGAGGCAGCAGUGGGGAAUAUUGGACAAUGGGCGCAAGCCUGAUCCAGCCAUGCCGCGUGAGUGAUGAAGGCCUUAGGGUUGUAAAGCUCUUUGACCGGUGAAGAUAAUGACGGUAGUCGGAGAAGAAGCCCCGGCUAACUUCGUG
rnacentral:rRNA from 1 species